AGAGUUUGAUCAUGGCUCAGAGUGAACGCUGGCGGCGUGCCUAACACAUGCAAGUCGAACGAGAACGGGAUUUAGUUUACUAAAUUUGUCAGCUAAGUGGCGCACGGGUGAGUAAUAUAUAGUUAAUCUGCCUCAAAGAAGGGAAUAAUUGUUGGAAACGACUUGUAACUCCCUAUAUGCCUUUAUCACAUAAGUGAGCAAGGGAAACAUUUAUGGCUUUGAGAUGAGACUGUACAGUAUCAGUUAGUUGGUGAGGUAAUGGCUCACCAAGACAAUGACGCUUAACUGGUUUGAGAGGAUGAUCAGUCACACUGGAACUGAGACACGGUCCAGACUCCUACGGGAGGCAGCAGUGGGGAAUAUUGCACAAUGGAGGAAACUCUGAUGCAGCAACGCCGCGUGGAGGAUGACACAUUUCGGUGCGUAAACUCCUUUUAUAUAAGAAGAUAAUGACGGUAUUAUAUGAAUAAGCACCGGCUAACUCCGUGCCAGCAGCCGCGGUAAUACGGGGGGUGCAAGCGUUACUCGGAAUCACUGGGCGUAAAGAGCAUGUAGGCUGGUCUGUAAGUUGGAAGUGAAAUCCUAUGGCUUAACCAUAGAACUGCUUCCAAAACUACUUACCUAGAGUAUGGGAGAGGUAGAUGGAAUUUCUGGUGUAGGGGUAAAAUCCGUAGAGAUCAGAAGGAAUACCGAUUGCGAAGGCGAUCUACUGGAACAUUACUGACGCUCAGAUGCGAAAGCGUGGGGAGCAAACAGGAUUAGAUACCCUAGUAGUCC
rnacentral:rRNA from 1 species